GAUGAACGCUGGCGGCGUGCCUAAUACAUGCAAGUCGAGCGAAUGGAUUAAGAGCUUGCUCUUAUGAAGUUAGCGGCGGACGGGUGAGUAACACGUGGGUAACCUGCCCAUAAGACUGGGAUAACUCCGGGAAACCGGGGCUAAUACCGGAUAACAUUUUGAACCGCACGGUUCGAAAUUGAAAGGUGGCUUCGGCUGUCACUUAUGGAUGGACCCGGGUCGCAUUAGCUAGUGGGUGAGGUAACGUCUCACCAAGGCAACGAUGCGUAGCCGACCUGGGAGGGGGAUCGGCCACACUGGGACUGGGACACGGCCCAGACUCCUACGGGAGGCAGCAGUAGGGAAUCUUCCGCAAUGGACGAAAGUCUGACGGAGCAACGCCGCGUGAGUGAUGAAGGCUUUCGGGUCGUAAAACUCUGUUGUUAGGGAAGAACAAGUGCUAGUUGAAUAAGCUGGCACCUUGACGGUACCUAACCAGAAAGCCACGGCUAACUACGUGCCAGCAGCCGCCGUAA
rnacentral:rRNA from 1 species